GCGCGGGUUAAUGUGAUCGGAGGUUAUGACUGUCUUUGACGCAUCGUGAUCCUGGAAGUUCGUCCGAUAUACUCUUUGGUUCGACGGACAAAUAAUUUUCCUACUUUCUAAUUAUAGUCAAAAUAACAUGUCAUCUCAGUAAAGAUAAUAUUUGAUCGUUACUUAUCAAGAAUAUUUUAUUCAUUUUAAAACCAUGCCCCUGAACGGGAAACCAUCACGUUACGCACACCCUGAGGGGCACACGGACGUCUGUUAUUUUACUGGAGAAAAAGGAGGUCUACUCACCUGUGGAUCAGAUGGUGAUGUUCGAUCCUGGUUGAAUUUGAUGGACGAUGACCCUGAUGCGAGUUGUAUAUCCGAACAAGUUAUAUCCGUCGUCUCGAAGAAUGAUAAAAUCUACGUGGCAACAGACAAUAACACCGUACAGAUUCUCACCUAUCCAGACUUGGAGAAGGAGGGAAUUAUAACCAGGUUUUCAGCGACAGUGUGCGCCUUGGCAUCUUCCAAAAAUGGAAAUCUGAUCGUGUCCGGUGCAUGCGAUAUGCGGAUCCAAGUGAGUAACAUCCAGACCUGUGAUAGUAUUGAACUUAACGGACACCAGGGUCCAAUUUUAGGCUUAUCACUUGAUCCCCAAGAGCAGUUUGUUGCAUCUUCGAGUACCGAUGGCUCUAUCAGGGUCUGGGAUAUAAAAGAAAAGCAGGUUGCUCAUAUUUGGAACAAUGUCGUGCCAAAAGGUAACUCAUUUUUUACCUCCAAGACCUAUUCCACACCUUCGUUCCAAUGCGAGGAUGGAAAAACUCUGGCUUUUCCGCAGGGCAAAGAAGUUGUUGUUGUUGAAAGAGGCACCUGGAAAGAGUUGUUCAAACUUAGGUGCCCUGAUCUUAAAGCAGAACUAAGCAUAUGUAAAUUUUCUCAAUGCGGGACUCUUCUUGCGGCAAGUUCAAUUCAUGGAGAAAUAGUUGUGUGGGAAAUAGAAUCGAAGGAACAGAUAGGCUACAUCACGCAUGAUCGAAAUGCCAAAAUCACAUCCAUUGCUUGGAGUCCAAAUUUACCGAACGAAAUUGCAUUCUGUGAUUCAUUAGGAAUGCUGGGAUGCGUUGACGUGGUGGUUAAUUCAGUUGAAGAACUGUUCCCGAAAACAGUUGAUUCAAAUCAAUCGAAUCAAGACUUGGACAAUUUCAUAAAAAACUAUAAAGUUGACGAUGACAACGAUGAUGGAGAAAAUGUAAUAUCGUUGGAUAAAAUCAAGGCGUCAGUACAAAUAGAUUACGAUGACGAUUCUCAGGAACCAAUCGCCCAGCGCCCUGAAGGUGUGGAUAAGAAAGUGUCAUUGAAAGUAGAACCCCAAGAACCUUUUCAGCCUGGUUCUUCUCCAACUGUUCUGCUAAAUCGUUACAUGGCUUGGAACAAUACAGGGGUAAUUAAAUGCUACUCCUCAGAAGAUGGUCAAGAGUCGAGUAUCGAGGUCGAAUUUCAUGAUGCCAGCAUUCACCACCCAAUUCACAUUGACAAUUAUUUGCAACACACUUUGGCAUCGUUAUCUCCGAAAGCUCUCGCUCUUGCUUGUGUAGAUAAUGGCGACACGCCUAGCAAACUGGUCGUCGUCAGGUUACAAGGAUGGGGUUCUGGAACCAAAGAGUGGUCCAUCAAUUUCCCACAGGGUGAACUGCCCCUUUGUGUCGCCUCCGGUGAUAACUUCGUUGCUGUAGCGACGAGUAAAAGAAGACUGAGGUUAUUUACGGCCAGCGGAACACAAAGGAGAAUCAUUGCAUUACCCGGUGCUCCGGUCGCCAUCAAUGCACUAGGGAAUCAACUUGUAGCCGUUUGUCAUGCAGGAUUGUCAGGCGUACAGAAAGAGCAAUAUAUGACGAUGAUUUGGCUGCAAAUUCGUGGUUCAAAUAUUCGCAAUCGCUCCCUUGCCGUUCCGCUAUCGGGUCCGGAACUGAAGCUUGCUUGGGUAGGACUGACCGACCGAGGUUCACCAGCGGUGAUGGAUGAGGAUGGCGUAAUCUCGAUAUACGAUGCAAAAUCGUCGCUCUGGAACGUUGCUUGUGAUACAGCGAAUCAGUGCAAAGGAGCCGCGGAUCGCUUCUUCGUGAUCGGCAUUAGUGAAAUUGAUAAUAUGGUAAGAUGCAUAUUAUGCAAAGGGUGUCCUUAUCCGCAAACCGCACCGACUCCAACCCAGAUUGAAAUACCGCUCGAAUUACCAGUCUGCGAUCCAGAAUCUGUCAAGUCUAAAAUGGAAGCCAAACUUUGGCAACUGGGCACCGACCCGAGUGCAAAUGACGAAACGCUAUUGUCCAUGUUUGUCCUCGCUUGCCGCGGCAACGCCGAGUAUCGUGCCGUGGAUUUGUGCGAAGAAUUUGCGUCGCAGAAGGUUCUGGAAUUGGCUGUUAAGUAUGCCGGACGUCUUGGCCAAAUGGCUUUGGUUACCAAACUACAAUCGCUCGCGAGGACUAUAGAGGAUCAAGACAUCAACGAAGAAAAUGGAGGUAAAAUUCGGGAAAGAGAGGAUGAUAGAUUGUCGGUAAAUCAAGUCGACGAAGAAUUCGAAGAAGUCGAAAAUGCCGAUGAAUAUCUCUCAUUGACUCCUAUACAGGCUAAGCCUGCCGUAGAAAUAAGGCCAAUGAGUUUGAGCAUGAAGAGGCAAAAUCCGUUCAAAAAGAAUGGAAAGUCAUCAAGUCUGAAAGGCCUUCAAGCCAUGAAUCGAUUGCCCGAGAAUCCCCGCAGCUCACCAGCAGCUGAACCACCUCCGCAAAAACCGAAACCAAAACCAGCGUCUAAAUCGAAUCCAGCCAAGGAAUCUUUCGUCGUUUGGUUUGGAAAACAUAACGAAGAAAUUGCUGAAGAAUUUCCAGAAGUCGACAACAAACGGUUAACAAUGAUUGCCCUGGAAAGGUACAAGGAAAACGAGAAGGCGGCGUCGGCAGUUGAAACUUCCCUGAAAGAACGUGAAACUAAAAAACGGAAGUUGUCAGACGCGGAAAACGAGAAGAGUCAAAGCACAGAAACAAUCGCCCGUAAACUUUCUACAUUUGCCUACACGGAAUAAAUACCGGUGUAACUAGAUACAGACUGUCGAAUCGCGAAUUCAUAAUAUUUGAGUUCAAACGCCUCUCUGCAGACAGCCUGCAGUACCCAAAUCCUUCCGCUUUUGUGUAGAAAGUCCACAUCGCCUCAUAUCCUUACACCUUGAUACAGAAAAUCUAACCCGUAUAAUACAUUCGGUGCAAGUUUUCAUCGCAAAGAGGCGGAAUACGCAAACAGGUAAGAAAUAUGAUUCAUUUGCAAUAUUGGUGCUAGUUGGGUGGUGAAAAUUUUACCGACUAUAACGAAGAAUUGUAGUAUAAAGUUGUAGACAGGAAUUAGGAUAGGCGUGGCAUC